rnacentral:rRNA from 1 species
GACGAACGCUGGCGGCGUGCUUAACACAUGCAAGUCGAACGAUGAAGCCGGAGCUUGCUCUGGUGAAUUAGUGGCGAACGGGUGAGUAACACGUGAGUAACCUGCCCUUGACUCUGGGAUAACUGCGGGAAACUGUAGCUAAUACCGGAUACGACCCUCGGAGGCAUCUCCUGGGGGGUGGAAAGAAUUUCGGUCAAGGAUGGACUCGCGGCCUAUCAGCUAGUUGGUGAGGUGAGGGCUCACCAAGGCGACGACGGGUAGCCGGCCUGAGAGGGUGACCGGCCACACUGGGACUGAGACACGGCCCAGACUCCUACGGGAGGCAGCAGUGGGGAAUAUUGCACAAUGGGCGCAAGCCUGAUGCAGCAACGCCGCGUGAGGGAUGACGGCCUUCGGGUUGUAAACCUCUUUUAGCAGGGAAGAAGCGAAAGUGACGGUACCUGCAGAAAAAGCACCGGCUAACUACGUGCCAGCCGCCGCAGUAA